GCGCCCCACCCCCACCCCUCGGUCCCUCCCUGGUCCCCUGAGCGCCCCCUGCGGAUUCCCGGUCGUACCGCACGGGUGGAGCCCAUUUCGGGGGCCCGCUCCUGCAAGCAUCGGGAUGCGGAGGCCCUGUCCAGAGAAUCCUGCCUACUGGGUGCUUUCAUUCCCGGCUUUCCGGAGAACUUUCCCAAAGAAACACCGGCUGUCGUCGUCCUGACCGCCAGGUUGCGGAGGGGUGGCUCACCUCUGCUUAGAGCCCCAGAGCUACUGCCUGAGGCCUGGCUCUGGGGAGGGUAAAGCCGAACUGGUGAGGGUGCCUCUCAUCGACGGCGGCUCUACCAGUGCCCCCCACCCCAGAGUUUUGCCCUGGAACCAUGCCUCUCUGGCGCCCAAAUGAAUCUGAUUUCUGCCAGACCACAGAAAACCUGAAUUCUAAACCUAGAGGGAAAAACAGCCCGCAGCCUCCCCCAGUCUUGGAUUGUUUUGAGUUGCAAGAGAAGCCCGGUCAGGGAUCCCCAUCUCCACCCCCCCUGCCCCCCCCCCGCCACGCCCCCCUGCAGUUCUUUGAAGUUCAAAUCCUGAGAAAAGCCAAUAGGCGGCUGGCCGGGUGUCAGACAAUCCAGCUGACGACAGAAGGCGCCUCCUACUGGGAAUCUGCUGUGUCCGGGACAGAAAUUAGACACCCUGGUGGGACCGCAGUCAAGUUCACUGCCAAACUGCCAAGUUCAUGGGUACACAUCAUCCAAAGGCAGGCUCGCCCUGGCUAAUCUGGGAAGAGGCUGGAGAAAUUCCCAUCCGAAGUGGAGCCACAGGCAAAACUGGAAAUGGACAGAGGCAGUGUGUUUCUCCCUCUCCCUCCACCAUGGUGCUUCCUAACUGGUAUCCUGCUUCCAGGCUGUCCCCCUGGAAUGCAUUCUCCAUGCCACACAGUCAGCGUUGUGACACAGAGAACUGAGCCACGGUUCCCUGCGGACCGCAGCAUCGAGUCUGACAUAGGCCUUCGUGACCAGGUGGGACCCUCUGAUGUGCCCAGCCUUGUUACUCAUGGCUCCCUCGGGCUCCAGGCCCUGUCACUCUUCCGUGGUCCCUUUUCCAUCAGGGAUCAAACGUUUCCCAGAAGCUCCCCGUAAGCUUCCUUCAUAGCUCCCUUGUUGGAACCGGGUCACAUGCUCAUUCCAAAACCCAUGACCAAAACCCUUGACUGGUAUAGACCCUCAGGAGUCCCUGGCGUUGGCACAGAUAUCCGAAUCAGAUGGAGGCUCUGCCAAUAGGAGGAAGAGGCUGGUGCACCCAGCAGGCACCUCUAGGUGCCCCGCCCCCACCCCAGGUGCAGGGAGCCCGCCAGGUUCCACUGAGGCAGGAAGCUGGCUGCAGAGAGAACUCAAGAGGGAAGCUCCCUGGUUUGCUGUCCGCCUUCCUUCCUUCUUAGUCCUGAGCAGCAUUCCUGUUUUUCCAAUGAGUUUCCUUUCUUACUUAAACUAGUUUGGUAGGUUUCCAUUUCUUGCAAUGAAAGGCUCUUGAGAGAAACCCUCUGAGGCUCUUGCCAGCGGCUGGGAGAAGUGCCAGAGGCUGGGCAUAGGCGUCCUGAUCCUCUCCUGGUGAAGCGACUGCAUUGAAACCCCCGGCAGCAAACACCGGGGCCCCAUGUGACUUGGAUUCCAGGAAACCCAUUCACUUCCAGGCUAGCCGGUGGAUCUUCUUAUUUCAGGAGUAAACCAGAUUCAGCAGAAAAGCAGAGAUAACGUUUUUGACUUUGAAGAAUCAAGACUUUGGGGUUGUAAGAACCUGAGCUCUGAGUUUCAAAAGUGGGAGCCCUGGGCAUAAAAUUUAUGUCACUAACAAAAGGUCUAGGGCUAAACAAGGUCCAACAACCACUUGGCCAGACCCAGUUACCAUCAGGUAUUUCUGAGCAGGGGGUCCCUGCAGAGGGGAAGGGGAGAGGGGAAAGAGGUACAAUGAUGUGGAUCUCCAGGGAGGUGAGUGGUGGCCAGUGCAAUGGCCCCGUGCCAGUCUGAGAGUGGGUGUGGGCAGGGGGGGAGCCCCAGAGAGUGUCUGCCCCCACCCAGGAUGGUACGGGAGGGGAUGGUCGCAUGGGGGGUGUCAGCCCUGCAGCAAUUUGCCUGACCAUACCAAUGUCCCCUGUAUGCCUCAGAGGAGGGCAGAAGAAGCUGAGAGAAGAAAGAGGGAGAAGCUGGGCGAAGAAAGGGCGUCCAGGAGGCGAGGAGGGCACGUCUGCCAUCCGGAAGACAGAAAUGAGGCCAUGUUGGCAGGUGCCAGAGAACACCAGAUUGCUGCUGGCCCCUGCCCAGGUCUUGGCACUUUGUGAACUCCCUUCACCAAAAAAAAAAAAAAAAAAAAAAAAAAAAAAGGAAGAAA